rnacentral:rRNA from 1 species
AUUGAACGCUGGCGGCAGGCCUAACACAUGCAAGUCGAACGGUAACAGAAAGCAGCUUGCUGCUUUGCUGACGAGUGGCGGACGGGUGAGUAAUGUCUGGGAAACUGCCUGAUGGAGGGGGAUAACUACUGGAAACGGUAGCUAAUACCGCAUAACGUCGCAAGACCAAAGAGGGGGACCUUCGGGCCUCUUGCCAUCGGAUGUGCCCAGAUGGGAUUAGCUAGUAGGUGGGGUAAAGGCUCACCUAGGCGACGAUCCCUAGCUGGUCUGAGAGGAUGACCAGCCACACUGGAACUGAGACACGGUCCAGACUCCUACGGGAGGCAGCAGUGGGGAAUAUUGCACAAUGGGCGCAAGCCUGAUGCAGCCAUGCCGCGUGUACGAAGAAGGCCUUCGGGUUGUAAAGUACUUUCAGCGGGGAGGAAGGGAGUAAAGUUAAUACCUUUGCUCAUUGACGUUACCCGCAGAAGAAGCACCGGCUAACUCCGUG